rnacentral:rRNA from 1 species
AGUGAACGCUGGCGGUAGGCCUAACACAUGCAAGUCGAACGGCAGCACAGUAAGAGCUUGCUCUUACGGGUGGCGAGUGGCGGACGGGUGAGGGAUACAUCGGAAUCUACUUUUUCGUGGGGGAUAACGUAGGGAAACUUACGCUAAUACCGCAUACGACCUACGGGUGAAAGCAGGGGAUCUUCGGACCUUGCGCGAUUGAAUGAGCCGAUGUCGGAUUAGCGAGUUGGCGGGGUAAAGGCCCACCAGGGCGACGAUCCGUAGCUGGUCUGAGAGGAUGAUCAGCCACACUGGAACUGAGACACGGUCCAGACUCCUACGGGAGGCAGCAGUGGGGAAUAUUGGACAAUGGGCGCAAGCCUGAUCCAGCCAUACCGCGUGGGUGAAGAAGGCCUUCGGGUUGUAAAGCCCUUUUGUUGGGAAAGAAAAGCAGCAGGUUAAUACCCCGCUGUUCUGACGGUACCCAAAGAAUAAGCACCGGCUAACUUCGUG